ACCCCCGGAUGCCUCAGUGUCCCCCCCAUUGGCACCAAGGCUUGUGUGUGCCUCAGUUUCCCCACGGGGGAUGAGGUGGAGGGGGUCCUCUGGAGACACCUGAGUCCCUUUUUCAGGGGUGGGGGGUCCCUCCUGGAUACCUGAAGGGAAAUGGGGGGGGGUCUCACCUGGCUGCCCCUCCCCCACAGGAGAAGGAGGAGCUGCUGGGGGGGGCUGAGAACGGGCCCAGGCCCCCCCCGGGGCCCCCCCUGCGCCUCUGCCCCAUCAAGGAGGAAGCAGGACCCCUCCCCCGCCUCGAGGUGAGACCCCCCGGCUGCCUGGGACCCCCCCUGCACACCUGGGACCCCCCCGUGACCCCCCCUGCCCCCCAGGACCCUCGCCUGGGGCUCCUCAUCGCCUCGGCCCCGCGCCUCAAGGGGGCCCCCCCGGAGCCCAGCGUGGCCCCCCAAAGGCCCCCCCCGGGGGAUCUGGGGGUCCUGAUCGCCGCCACCCCCCGCGUGAAGCAGGAGCAGCCGCAGCCCAGCGCGUCCCUGGUGCCGGUGCCCCCCCAGCCUCCCCCUCCCCAGCUGGUGGUGCUGGAUGAGAGUGAGGAGGAGGAAGAAGAGGAAGAGGAGGGCGGCAGCCAAGUGGUGAGGAAGAGGGGGGGUCAGAGGAUUUGGGGGGAUCCUGGGGGGGCUUUUUGACGGGUGAGGGGUCUUGGGAAGGGGUUGGGGGUGUCCUGGGAGUGGCUUUAAAGGGAAUUUGGGGAGAGGGGUCUGACAAAUGGGAACUUUAGGUGGGAUUUUGGUGAGCUAGGGAAGGGAUUUUUGGGGCUGGG
rnacentral:lncRNA from 1 species